rnacentral:rRNA from 1 species
UACGGAGGGUGCAAGCGUUAAUCGGAAUUACUGGGCGUAAAGCGCACGCAGGUGGCUGAGUCAGUCGAUUGUGAAAGCCCUGGGCUUAACCUGGGAAUUGCAGUCGAUACUACUCAGCUAGAGUAUGGGAGAGGGCAGUGGAAUUCCCGGUGUAGCGGUGAAAUGCGUAGAUAUCGGGAGGAACAUCAGUGGCGAAGGCGGCUGCCUGGCCCAAUACUGACGCUCAUGUGCGAAAGCGUGGGGAGCAAACAGG